rnacentral:rRNA from 1 species
UUUGAUUACCAGUUGGAAAUAUUGAGGAGCAAUCCUGGAAGCACUAUUGCAGUAUGUUUGGACCCAACGAACAUGGAUCAAAACAUAUUUCAGAGUUUUUAUGUUUGCUUUAAUGCAAUGAAACUUGCUUUCAAAGCUCGCUGCAGGAAAGUAAUAGGGCUUGAUGGCUGUUUCUUCAAAGGAGCAGUGAAAGGGGAGAUUUUGUGUGCAAUAGCAAGAGAUGCCAACAACCAGAUGUAUCCAGUGGCGUGGGCUGUAGUUGAGAAGGAAACAAAAGAAAGUUGGAAGUGGUUUGUUCGUCUGCUUAUCAAAGAUCUGGAUAUCGACAACAAUGGAGCCGGCUGGGUUUUUAUUUCAGAUCAGCAAAAGGGAUUAAUAAAUGCAAUGCAAGACUAUCUUCCAAAUGCAGAACACAGGAUGUGUGCUAGGCACAUAUAU